rnacentral:rRNA from 1 species
UACGAAGGGUGCAAGCGUUACUCGGAAUUACUGGGCGUAAAGCGUGCGUAGGCGGUUUGUUAAGUCUGUCGUGAAAGCCCCGGGCUCAACCUGGGAACCGCAUUUGUGACUGCAUAGCUGGAGUACGGCAGAGGGGGAUGGAAUUCCGCGUGUAGCAGUGAAAUGCGUAGAUAUGCGGAGGAACACCGAUGGCGAAGGCAGUCCCCUGGGCCUGUACUGACGCUCAUGCACGAAAGCGUGGGGAGCAAACAGG